rnacentral:rRNA from 1 species
UAUCAGUCAUGCAUAGCAUAUCAAUAAGCGGAGGAAAAGAAACUAACAAGGAUUCCCUUAGUAACGGCGAGUGAAGCGGGAAGAGCUCAAAUUUGAAAUCUUCAAGGUUUUACCUUGACGAAUUGUAGUUUAAAGAAGUGUUUUCUGUUGAAGUUUUGGUAAAAGUUCUUUGGAAUAGGACAUCAUAGAGGGUGAGAAUCCCGUAUUUGACCAUUACUUUCAGCUUUGUGAUACACUUUCAAAGAGUCGGAUUGUUUGGGAAUGCAGUCCAAAAUGGGUGGUAAAUUUCAUCUAAAGCUAAAUAUUGGCGAGAGACCGAUAGCGAACAAGUACCGUGAGGGAAAGAUGAAAAGAACUUUGAAAAGAGAGUUAAACAGUACGUGAAAUUGUCAAAAGGGAAGCGUUUGACACCAGUGUUGUUUUCUCGAAAAUCAAUUAAAAAGAGUUGGAUUUUGUGUUGUAUUGACCUUUAUCAGGCUUUCUUCACUCUUUUCCAGGCUUUUUUUAAUGCACUUUUCGCUUAACAAGUCAACAUCAGUUUCUUUUGUUGUAAAAAGGUCAUUGGAAGGUGGCUUUCUCUUCGGAGAAAGUGUUUAUAGCCUUUGACUCAUGCAAUCGGAGAGACUGAGGUCUGCAGCGUAGAUCCUUCGGGGUUAGAUACAUUUGUGCUAAGUUAUAGCUUUUCAUAGACAACUUCGUUGACUAUGUUUAGUCUUGUAGCUUACUCGCUUAUGCUAAUUUACCUACGCUUAGGAUGUUGAACUCUAUCACACACAG